rnacentral:lncRNA from 1 species
AUGCUAGCAAAUUUGAAAACUCAGCAGUGGCCACAGGACUGGAAAAGGUCAGUUUUCAUUCCAAUUCCAAAGAAAGGCAAUGUCAAAGAAUGCUCAAACUACCGCACAAUUGCACUCAUCUCACAUGCUAGUAAAGUAAUGCUCAAAAUUCUCCAAGCCAGGCUUCAGCAAUACGUGAACCGUGAACUUACUGAUGUUCAAGCUGGUUUUAGAAAAGGCAGAGGAACCAGAGAUCAAAUUGCCAACAUCCGCUGGAUCAUGGAAGAAGCAAGAGAGUUCCAGAAAAACAUCUACUUCUGCUUUAUUGACCAUGCCAAAGCCAUUGACUGUGUGGAUCACAAUACACUGUGGAAAAUUCUGAGAGAAAUGGGAAUACCAGACCACCUGACCUGCCUCUUGAGAAACCUAUAUGCAGGUCAGGAAGCAACAGUUAGAACUGGACAUGGAACAACACACUGGUUCCAAAUAGGAAAAGGAGUAUGUCAAGGCUGUAUAUUGUCACCCUGCUUAUUUAACUUCUAUGCAGAGUACAUCAUGAGAAACGCUGGACUGGAAGAAACACAAGCUGGAAUCAGGAUUGCCGGGAGAAAUAUCAAUAACCUCAGAUAUGCAGAUGACACCACCCUUAUGGCAGAAAGUGAGGAGGAACUCAAAAGCCUCUUGAUGAAGGUGAAAGAGGAGAGUGAAAAAGUUGGCUUAAAGCUCAACAUUCAGAAAACGAAGAUUAUGGCAUCUGGUCCCAUCACUUCAUGGGAAAUAGAUGGGGAAACAGUGGAAACAGUGUCAGACUUUAUUUUGAGGGGCUCCAAAAUCACUGCAGAUGGUGACUGCAGCCAUGAAAUUAAAAGACGCUUACUCCUUGGAAGAAAAGUUAUGACCAACCUAAAUAGUAUAUUCAAAAGCAGAGACAUUACUUUGCCGAGUAAGGUCCAUCUAGUCAAGGCUAUGGUUUUUCCAGUGGUCAUGUAUGGAUGUGAGAGUUGGACUGUGAAGAAGGCUGAGCGCCGAAGAAUUGAUGGCGUUUGA